rnacentral:rRNA from 1 species
GAUGAACGCUGGCGGCGUGCCUAAUACAUGCAAGUCGAGCGAACAGAUGAGGAGCUUGCUCCUCUGACGUUAGCGGCGGACGGGUGAGUAACACGUGGAUAACCUACCUAUAAGACUGGGAUAACUUCGGGAAACCGGAGCUAAUACCGGAUAAUAUAUUGAACCGCAUGGUUCAAUAGUGAAAGACGGUUUUGCUGUCACUUAUAGAUGGAUCCGCGCCGCAUUAGCUAGUUGGUAAGGUAACGGCUUACCAAGGCAACGAUGCGUAGCCGACCUGAGAGGGUGCUCGGCCACACUGGAACUGAGACACGGUCCAGACUCCUACGGGAGGCAGCAGUAGGGAAUCUUCCGAAAUGGGCGAAAGCCUGACGGAGCAACGCCGCGUGAGUGAUGAAGGUCUUCGGAUCGUAAAACUCUGUUAUUAGGGAAGAACAAAUGUGUAAGUAACUAUGCACGUCUUGACGGUACCUAAUCAGAAAGCCACGGCUAACUACGUG